GACGAGCUCUCCAAACGUUAUUCGGUAUCACUGGGCUUAAAGAGUUCGUAGGCGGCUUUGUAGGUGAGGUGUGAAAGCCCUCGGCUUAACCGAGGAACUGCGCUUCAAACCGCAAGGCUAGAGGGAGAUAGGGGUAAGCGGAACAGAUGGUGGAGCGGUGAAAUGCAUUGAUAUCAUCUGGAACACCGGUGGCGAAAGCGGCUUACUGGAUCUUUUCUGACGCUGAGGAACGAAAGCUAGGGUAGCGAACGGG
rnacentral:rRNA from 1 species